rnacentral:rRNA from 1 species
AAGUCGAGCGGAAAUAUCUGAAGGAUCUUGCUCUUUCGACGCGAGCGGACGGACGGGUGAGUCACACGUGUCUGACUUUCCUAGGAGACUGGCAUAACUUCGGGAAAGCGGAUCUAAUACCCGACCAUAUGUCGAACCGCAGGGAUCAUCGGUGAAUGAUGUCUUUGCUGACCCUUAUACAUGGUCCCGCGCUGGAGUAGCUAAGUGGUAACGUAACGGCUAACUGUAGCGACGAUGAGUAGACGACCCGCCACGCUGAUCCUGCAACACGGACCUGACACACACUCCAGACUCCUACGGGAAGCAUUAGAAAGUGAAUCUUCCGCCAGGGCCAAACGUGCGACGGGUGUGCGCCACGUGAUUUAUGUAUGUCUUCCUUAACCUAAAACUCUAUUAUUAGGGAACAACUAAUGUGUAAGUAAGUGUGCUCGUCUUGAAGGUACCUACUCAUAAAUCCGCGGCUAACUACGUGCCAACAGCCACGGUGAUACCUAUGUGCCAAGCGUUAGCCGGAAUUAUUGGGCGUAAAGCGUUCGUAAGCCGUAUUUUAAAUCUGAUGUGAAAGCCCACGGACUUAACCUCGGAAGGGCAUUGCAAACUGGAAAACUAGAAUGCAGAAAAUGAAAGUGGAAUUCCAUGUGUAGCGGUGAAAUGCGCAGAAUAUAUGGUAGGAACACCAGUGGCCAAGGCCGACUUUCUGGUCUGUAACUGACACUGCAUGUGGCGAAAAGCGCUGGGAAUCAAACCCGGAUUAGAUACCCGUGCGUACUCCACGCCCGUACAACGAUGAAGU